rnacentral:rRNA from 1 species
CCUACGGGAGGCAGCAGUAGGGAAUAUUGCUCAAUGGGGGAAACCCUGAAGCAGCAACGCCGCGUGGAGGAUGAAGGUUUUCGGAUUGUAAACUCCUUUUGUUAGAGAAGAUAAUGACGGUAUCUAACGAAUAAGCACCGGCUAACUACGUGCCAGCAGCCGCGGUAAUACGGAGGGUGCAAGCGUUACCCGGAAUCACUGGGCGUAAAGCGCGCGUAGGCGGGAUAGCAAGUCAGAUGUGAAAUGCUAUGGCUUAACCAUAGAACUGCAUUUGAAACUGUUAUUCUAGAGUAUGGGAGAGGUAGGUGGAAGUCUUGGUGUAGAGGUAAAAUCCGUAGAGAUCAAGAGGAAUACUCAUGGCGAAGGCGACCUGCUAGAACAUAACUGACGCUGAUGCGCGAAAGCGUGGGGAGCAAACAGGAUUAGAUACCCCUGUAGUC